rnacentral:rRNA from 1 species
AUUGAACGCUGGCGGGAUGCCUAACACAUGCAAGUCGAACGAGUGGCGGACGGGUGAGUAAUGUAUCGGAACUUGCCCAAUAGCGGGGGAUAACUACUCGAAACAGUAGCUAAUACCGCAUACCAUCGGAUGUGCCCAUAUCGGAUUAGCUAGUAGGUGGGGUAAAGGCUCACCUAGGCAACGAUCCGUAGCUGGUUUGAGAGGAUGACCAGCCACACUGGAACUGGGACACGGCCCAGACUCCUACGGGAGGAAGCAGUGGGGAAUUUUGGACACUGGGGGAAAGCCUGAUGCAGCCAUGCCGCGUGUAUGAUGAAGGCCUUCGGGUUGUAAAGUACUUUGAGCGGGGAGGCGGUACCUGCAGAAGAAGCACCGGCUAACUACGUGCCAGCAGCCGCGGUAAUUC